rnacentral:rRNA from 1 species
GCCUACCAUGGUGGUAACGGGUAACGGGGUGUUAGGGCACGACACCGGAGAGGGAGCCUGAGAAACGGCUACCACAUCCAAGGAUGGCAGCAAGCGCGCAAAUUACCCAAUCCCGACACGGGGAGGUAGUGACAAUAAAUAACAAUACGGGGUUCUUUCGGAUUUCGUAAUUGGAAUGAGUACAAUUUAAAUCUCUUAACGAGGAACAAUUGGAGGGCAAGUCUGGUGCCAGCAGCCGCGGUAAUUCCAGCUCCAAUAGCGUAUAUUAAAGUUGCUGCAGUUAAAAAGCUCGUAGUUGAAUUUCGGGACCAAUAUGUCGGUCGUGCCUCGGUACGUACUGGCAUCGUUGGUUUCUCCCUUCUGACGAACCAUGAUGUCAUUUAUUUGGUGUCGUGGGGAAUCAGGACUGUUACUUUGAAAAAAUUAGAGUGUUUAAAGCAGGCUCACGCUUGAAUACAUUAGCAUGGAAUAAUGAAAUAGGACGUUUGAUUCUAUUUUGUUGGUUUCUAGGAUCGACGUAAUGAUUAAUAGGGAUAGUUGGGGGCAUUAGUAUUCAAUUGUCAGAGGUGAAAUUCUUGGAUUUAUUGAAGACUAACUACUGCGAAAGCAUUUGCCAAGGAUGUUUUCAUUAAUCAAGAACGAAAGUUAGGGGAUCGAAGACGAUCAGAUACCGUCGUAGUCUUAACCAUAAACUAUGCCGACUAGGGAUCGGAUGAUGUUAAUUUUUUAAUGACUCAUUCGGCGCCUUACG